GAUCUAAUGGAGGAAAAUGGCGAAUCGCCUUCGGUUGUCUGGCAGGGUACAAACGAGCCUGUCCUUCUCCUCUUUUUCUCACCUUUGACAGAAUACCAAGCCAGAGAUGGGAAAAGAAGAUGAAGAAGAAGGAAUCCUGGCUGUCCUCAUCUCUUCUUCUCCCCUCAUCACUUGCUCCUAUUUGCCUGGCAGCACCGGAAGACAGAUGACAAGGGUUCAUGGCCGUCUGAUCGCCCCUGGAUGGUGGCACCUGACGAAGGCUCAGACGAUUCCUCCUCCAGUGUUGUGACAAAAUCACAUCAUGAGAUUCAAAAGAAGGUCCAGUUCAUGAAUGGGAGAAGAAGACUGAGGAAGUGACAUGGCCACUUGGCUGGGGGGGAAUCCAUUCAGUGAUCUCCUGCUGGUGAUGACACAAACACCCACAGUCAAGGGAGUGAUUCGAUUCUCCACUGUGUGAAAAGGCUGCUCCUUCACUGUGAUGGAAUAAUCCAACCUGCCUGUUCCUCUGAAACUCUGACUGCUCCGCCGCCGCCGCCUCGUUCCCCGACAGUGCAGCUGCCUAAAUGAUAGGGAUUAAGUUAACUCCCUGCUUAGAGGAAGAGCAGGCCCUGGAUUAGGGCACUGGGCAUGGACACAGAGAGCAUUCAAGCAAGAGCCACAGCUUUUUAAAGAAGAGACGUGGAGGAGAGAGGAAGUCAGCGUUGCACAGCCCUCGCGGGGACCUGACGGCCGAGUCACUUGAAUGAAUACGUUGACAAGCGCAAUGCUGCAGCCACAACAUGGGAAAGUGUGUCGAAGCAAGGAGGGAGAACGCCGGUGGACACGCCAACAAUCUCUUCUUUUUUUUUUGUUUCAUUCCGUCUCCCAAUUUUAUUCCCAACCAUCAAUCUUCUUGUCAUAGCCUUAAAUAACCCUGUCUCAUUGACGAAUAGAAGAAAUGUCACAUCUCUCUUUGGGAAUUGUAAUAAUAGAUCAUAUUCAAACUAAAAUCUCUCUAUGUAUUAUCAAAACUAAUAAUUAUUUUAUUGUUCCACUGUUAGUUUGCCAUAGUAACCUCUCACCAUCAGCAGAUUAUCCUUAUAUGCAACACAGCAUAAACUUUCUAAAUCUACACUGGAUUUAUGCAUCCUUAGUGGAGAUGCUGGAAUCAUUUUUUACACCUUUCUCCAAAUGUGAAAAUGGUCUAAUGUUUUCUCUUCCUUUAUUUCACCGAUCGUAUUCCAAGAGUUAGACGUCUUAGCUUCUCGCAGGAUGGAGGAGAAAAAAAAAGAAAAAAAAAACCUGGGAAAGAGCAGAGAUAAGAACAGGUGGUGAAACAGUGUGAGAAACACGCGGGAGAAAAAAAAAAAAAAACACAGACACCUGCUCAUGAAACCAAACCUGGCUCAUCCAUCACAUUCCAGCAGAGUUCAGCUGAGUGAGCCGCUUGGACACGAUACACUCUACUAUACUGAAUUCUACUGCUGACCAGGGCUGCAACUAACAUAAUCGGUUAAUCUGUCGAUUAUUUCUGCAAUAUAUCAAGACUAGAACAUGUUGAAAAAGGUUCAUCUGUGUUUCCCAAACGUAGAAAUGAUAAUGUUCUCAUAUGUCUUGUGUCUUUGUCUCUUGGCAAAACUGUUGUUUUAUUAGUCGCCAGUUUUCAGGCAUAAAUGCUUUUUCAACUGAAACCUUUUUCAAGUCCAACCAUUUCACACCUACAUUGUUUAUGUGACAUUUCCAAAGCCACAAACUGUCAAUGAAACUGCAGAAAUGCAUAUGUAGGAGGCAUUCAUGUUUGUUAUAUAUGGGGUUAUUGGUAUUUAUUGUCAUUUAUGGUCAAUGUUAGUUGUAUAAAACACAGAGCAUUGAGGCUCAUUUUUUUUCCAUCACUUUAAUUAUCUAAAUACGUGAGCAAAAUGUACUAAAAAUCUUUAAAAUAAUUUGUGAAAUUUGAAAAUG